CAAUAGCGUAUAUUAAAGUUGUUGCAGUUAAAAGCUCGUAGUUGGAUUUCUGGUGGGAGCGAUCGGUCUGGCGCUUAGCGCGAGUACUUGCAUCGUCUCCGGCCAUCCUUGGGGAGAGUCUGUCUGGCAUUAGGUUGUCGGGCAGAGGAUCCUCAUCGUUUACUGUGAAAAAAUUAGAGUGUUCAAAGCAGGCUUAUGCCGUUGAAUAUAUUAGCAUGGAAUAAUAAGAUAGGACUUUGGUACUAUUUUGUUGGUUUGCGCACCAAAGUAAUGAUUAAUAGGGACAGUUGGGGGUAUUCGUAUUCCGUUGUCAGAGGUGAAAUUCUUGGAUUUACGGAAGACGAACUACUGCGAAAGCAUUUACCAAGGAUGUUUUCAUUAA
rnacentral:rRNA from 1 species